rnacentral:rRNA from 1 species
UACGGAAGGGGCAAGCGUUGUUCGGAAUCAUUGGGCGUAAAGGGUGCGUAGGCGGCGCGGUAAGUCGGAUGUGAAAUCUCGGAGCUUAACUCCGAAACUGCAUUCGAUACUGCCGUGCUUGAGGACUGGAGAGGAGACUGGAAUUUACGGUGUAGCGGUGAAAUGCGUAGAUAUCGUAAGGAAGACCAGUGGCGAAGGCGGGUCUCUGGACAGUUCCUGACGCUGAGGCACGAAGGUCAGGGGAGCAAACGGG